rnacentral:sRNA from 1 species
CAACUUCAAUCUGUUGGGGACAAAUAAAAUGAAUGUGAGAAUCAAUUCCCCCAGCCGUCAGAAUCAUUCCUUCCCCUGCUAAAGCUUCGGUUCCGGGUCCAAUAAUAAUAUCUAUGUUGUCUUGAAUAUAGGGAUUUCCAGCUUUACCAAUUUUGUGAAUUUUGCCGUCUUUAAUACCAAUAUCCGCUUUCACAAUUCCCCACCAAUCGAGAAUUAAGGCGUUAGUAAUAACUAAGUCUACUGCACCAUCAUGAUUAGAAAUGGGGGAUUGUCCCAUUCCGUCUCUG